rnacentral:rRNA from 1 species
AUUGAACGCUGGCGGCAGGCCUAACACAUGCAAGUCGAACGAGUGGCGGACGGGUGAGUAAUGUAUGGGAAACUGCCCGAUGGAGGGGGAUAACUACUGGAAAAGGUAGCUAAUACCGCAUACCAUCGGAUGUGCCCAGAUGGGAUUAGCUAGUGGGGGGGGUAACGGCGCACCAAGGCGACGAUCCCUAGCUGGCCUGAGAGGAGGACCAGCCACACUGGAACUGAGACACGGUCCAGACUCCUACGGGAGGCAGCAGUGGGGAAUAUUGCGCAAUUGGCGCAAGCCUGAUGCAGCCACGCCGCGUGUAUGAAGAAGGCCUUCGGAUUGUAAAGCUCUUUCAGUGAGGAAGCGUUACUCGCAGAAGAAGCACCGGCUAACUCCGUGCCAGCAGCCGCGGCAAUAC